rnacentral:rRNA from 1 species
UGGGGGAUAUUGCACAAUAGGCGAAAGCCUGAUGCAGCGACGCCGCGUGGGGGAUGAAGGCUUUCGGGUUGUAAACCUCUUUCGCUAUCGAACAAGGCCCGCUUAGGGUGGGUUGAGGGUAGGUGGAGAAGAAGCGCCGGCUAACUACGUGCCAGCAGCCGCGGUAAUACGUAGGGCGCGAGCGUUGUCCGGAAUUAUUGGGCGUAAAGGGCUUGUAGGCGGCUUGUUGCGCCUGCUGUGAAAACGCGGGGCUUAACUUCGCGCGUGCAGUGGGUACGGGCAGGCUUGAGUGUGGUAGGGGUGACUGGAAUUCCAGGUGUAGCGGUGGAAUGCGCAGAUAUCUGGAGGAACACCGAUGGCGAAGGCAGGUCACUGGGCCAUUACUGACGCUGAGGAGCGAAAGCAUGGGUAGCGAACAGG